GGCCCAAGUGGAUCACGCAAGACAGAGAAGAUGUCUCUUCAAUGAGAAGUGAAAGAAGAACUGAAUCUAUGUGUACAAGGACAUCUCUUCAUCCUGAUGGAUUCAGAACAGCUUCUGGGAGACUAGCUCAGGUGACUUUUGAGGACGUGGUUGUGGAUUUCACGGAGGAGGAGUGGGCCCUGAUGGAUCCAGGCCAA